CUGGGUAAUGCCCAGUGCGGGUGACCGUGAGGAGAGUGCCACAGAAACACACCGCCGAUGGCCGGUUCUGCCGGCACAGGCAAGGGUGCAAAGGUGCGGUAAGAGCGCACCAGCAGCAUCGAGAGGUGCUGGCUCGGUAAACCCCGGCUGGGAGCAAGGCCAAGGAACGACGGGUGGCCAUCUUCCCCGUUCCGCCAAAGUGCGCCGCUCGAGGUCGUCGGUAACGGCGAUCCCAGAUAGAUGAUCACCCCCCUUCCUUGGAAGGGUGAACAGAACCCGGCUUAUGUCCUGCUUUCACCC
rnacentral:RNase_P_RNA from 1 species